rnacentral:rRNA from 1 species
AAGUCUGGAGAUCACAAGAUGAUCAGGGGCCACGCGAUCAACUUGCUUCAUAUCUUUGACGUGCCACAGAAAUUCAAAGUCAUGAGCCUUAUGGUUGAAACAAUCAAGAGGACAACAGCAGACCAGAAGAGGAGCUGUGGAUAUGCCCCACAGAUUCAGGAGCUCAUCAACUCUAAGAUGGGCACGGGCAUAUACUUAUUGGACAAGGAACACCUGCCCAUCCGUCUAGACUUUGAAGAUAAUCAAGUGGUCAUGACCGAGAAUGAGCCAUCAUCUGCCCAAGCACAAGCCAAGAAGGAGAAGGCGAGGAAGGAGAAAGCUGCCAAG